rnacentral:rRNA from 1 species
UACGGGGGGGGCAAGCGUUGUUCGGAAUUACUGGGCGUAAAGGGCUCGUAGGCGGCCAACUAAGUCAGACGUGAAAUCCCUCGGCUUAACCGGGGAACUGCGUCUGAUACUGGAUGGCUUGAGUUUGGGAGAGGGAUGCGGAAUUCCUGGUGUAGCGGUGGAAUGCGCAGAUAUCAGGAGGAACACCGAUGGCGAAGGCAGGUCUCUGGGCCGCAACUGACGCUGAGGAGCGAAAGCAUGGGGAGCGAACAGG